rnacentral:rRNA from 1 species
UACGUAGGGUCCGAGCGUUGUCCGGAAUUACUGGGCGUAAAGAGCUCGUAGGUGGUUUGUCGCGUUGUUCGUGAAAACUCACAGCUUAACUGUGGGCGUGCGGGCGAUACGGGCAGACUUGAGUACUGCAGGGGAGACUGGAAUUCCUGGUGUAGCGGUGGAAUGCGCAGAUAUCAGGAGGAACACCGGUGGCGAAGGCGGGUCUCUGGGCAUGUCCUGACGCUGAGGAGCGAAAGUGUGGGGAGCGAACAGG